rnacentral:rRNA from 1 species
AGACUUUGAUUCUGGCUCAGAACGAACGCUGGCGGCAGGCCUAACACAUGCAAGUCGAGCGCAUCCUUCGGGGUGAGCGGCGGACGGGUGAGUAUCGCGUGGGAACGUGCCCUUCUCUACGGAAUAGUCUCGGGAAACUGGGGGUAAUACCGUAUACGCCCUUUUGGGGAAAGAUUUAUCGGAGAAGGAUCGGCCCGCGUUGGAUUAGGUAGUUGGUGGGGUAAUGGCUCACCAAGCCGACGAUCCAUAGCUGGUUUGAGAGGAUGAUCAGCCACACUGGGACUGAGACACGGCCCAGACUCCUACGGGAGGCAGCAGUGGGGAAUCUUAGACAAUGGGGGCAACCCUGAUCUAGCCAUGCCGCGUGAGUGAUGAAGGCCCUAGGGUUGUAAAGCUCUUUCAGCUGUGAAGAUAAUGACGGUAGCAGCAGAAGAAGUCCCGGCUAACUCCGUGCCAGCAGCCGCGGU